CCUAGUAAGCGUGAGUCAUCAGCUCGCGUUGAUUACGUCCCUGCCCUUUGUACACACCGCCCGUCGCUACUACCGAUUGAAUGGCUUAGUGAGACCUUCGGAUUGUAGACUGUUUCGUUGGCAACAACAUACGGUUCGCGAGAAGUUGGUCAAACUUGGUCAUUUAGAGGAAGUAAAAGUCGUAACAAGGUUUCCGUAGGUGAACCUGCGGAAGGAUCAUUAAAAAAGGGUCGAAAGACCUAUUUCUAAACCUACUACCAAUUCUUACUUCUUUGAGGUGAGAUGGUGGUAGGUUUUUUCAAACCCCAAUUUAAAAAUAUCGUCACAAGACGAAACCAAAAAAAAAAUAUAAAUAAAACUUUCAACAAUGGAUCUCUUGGCUCUCGUAUCGAUGAAGAACGCAGCGAAUUGCGAUAAGUAGUGUGAAUUGCAAAUUCUGUGAAUCAUCGAAUCUUUGAACGCAUAUUGCGCUCUCUGGUACUCCGGAGAGCAUGCCUGUUUGAGGGUAAUUAACAGAAUCUCUAACCUUUUUCUUGGUUAAAGGAUAUGGGCAUUCCGCGAUUAGCGGUAGCCUAAAAUAUAUGGUCAGUCUCAUCGAGAGGAGAUGUGUAAUAAUUAUUAUUUCGCAAAACCAUUUGAUGAGCUACCAAGUUUUGAUUCAUUCAACUAUGUUGGGUGCGGUUAAAACAAAUAUUUUUGACAUUACCUCAAAUCAGGUAGGAAUACCCGCUGAACUUAAGCAUAUCAAUAAGCGGAGGAAAAGAAACUAACCAGGAUUCCCCUAGUAACGGCGAGUGAAGCGGGAAUAGCUCAAAUUUUAAAUCUGGCCUGCGUGGUCGGUCCGAGUUGUAAUUUAAAGAAGCGAUUAUCACGUUUUCGUUCGGGUUCAAGUUCCUUGGAAUAGGACAUCAGAGAGGGUGAGAAUCCCGUCUGUGUUCCGAUCGGUUUCGGUACGAUAACGUUUCUAAGAGUCGAGUUGUUUGGGAUUGCAGCUCAAAAUGGGUGGUAAAUUCCAUCUAAGGCUAAAUAUAGGCGAGAGACCGAUAGCGAACAAGUACCGUGAGGGAAAGAUGAAAAGAACUUUGAAAAGAGAGUUAAAUAGUACGUGAAAUUGUUGAAAGGGAAACGAUUAAAGUCAGCCGUGCCGGUGGGAAAUCAGCUUACAAGUAUUUGUGAGUGCACUUUCUCGCAAGGCAGGUUAGCAUCGGUUUUGGUUGCGUUAAAAUGAUUGCAAGAAGGUAGCUCCUUCGGGAGUGUUAUAGCUUGCUUUAGAUGACGUAGAUGAGACCGAGGAUUGCAGCGAAUGCUUUUGGCUACGGAUCUGGCCUCUGUCGACGAUUAAUUGGCCGUGAGCUUGCUCACGUACGGUUGAUUUGUUUACAACAGGUUUAGAAUCCGAUAAAUUCGCUAAGGAUGCUAACAUAAUGGCUUUAAACGACCCGUCUUGAAACACGGACCAAGGAG
rnacentral:rRNA from 1 species